UACGUAGGGUGCAAGCGUUGUCCGGAAUUAUUGGGCGUAAAGAGCUUGUAGGCGGUUUGUCGCGUCUGCUGUGAAAAUCCGGGGCUCAACUCCGGACUUGCAGUGGGUACGGGCAGGCUAGAGUGUGGUAGGGGAGACUGGAAUUCCUGGUGUAGCGGUGGAAUGCGCAGAUAUCAGGAGGAACACCGAUGGCGAAGGCAGGUCUCUGGGCCACUACUGACGCUGAGAAGCGAAAGCAUGGGGAGCGAACAGG
rnacentral:rRNA from 1 species